rnacentral:lncRNA from 1 species
AUGAAGGUUAUGGAGCUCAGCUGUUCUGCUGACACCCCCACCCAGGGUAUAUAUACCUCUCCAGCCACACUGGCAUGGUUUUAUGUCUCCUUCUGGCUGUUGUUUGUGCUGGAAAUCCUGGUUUGUCCUCCCCCACUUCACCAAGGGCCAAGCCAGAGAAAAGAAGCCAACACCUUUGGGCAAAGAAAACAACGAAAUCUAAGGAGAAGAGCCAGGAAGAAGGGAGGGAAGAGAUGUUCAUGGAAAAACCUACCUCUAAAAGUCCUAUGCUGUCCAGCAAUAGCUUUUCUUUCUUUCUUUUUUUUUUUUUUUUGAGAAAUCUGCAUGUAAAACCAAUGCAAUGUUUUACAUAUUCAGUUUUCCUCAUUGAAAGGAUUCUCUAGCUGUUGAGAAAACAGUUAUUGCCAAUAAAGCUAUUGUCUCCAGAGCUCUCA